AACGAACGCUGGCGGCAGGCCUAACACAUGCAAGUCGAACGCUGUAGCAAUACAGAGUGGCAGACGGGUGUGUAACGCGUGGGAACAUGCCCUUCGGUUCGGAAUAACUCAGGGAAACUUGAGCUAAUACCGGAUACGCCCUUAGGGGGAAAGAUUUAUUGCCGAAGGAUUGGCCCGCGUCCGAUUAGCUAGUUGGUGAGGUAAUGGCUCACCAAGGCGACGAUCGGUAGCUGGUCUGAGAGGAUGAUCAGCCACACUGGGACUGAGACACGGCCCAGACUCCUACGGGAGGCAGCAGUGGGGAAUAUUGGACAGUGGGCGCAAGCCUGAUCCAGCCAUGCCGCGUGAGUGAUGAAGGCCCUAGGGUUGUAAAGCUCUUUCGCCAGGGACGAUAAUGACGGUACCUGGAUAAGAAGCCCCGGCUAACUUCGUGCCAGCAGCCGCCGCGGUAA
rnacentral:rRNA from 1 species